GCAUUAGCUAGUUGGUGAGGUAACGGCUCACCAAGGCGACGAUGCGUAGCCAACCUGAGAGGGUGAUCGGCCACACUGGGACUGACACACGGCCCAGACUCCUACGGGAGGCAGCAGUAGGGAAUCUUCCGCAAUGGACGAAAGUCUGACGGAGCAACGCCGCGUGAGUGAUGAAGGUUUUCGGAUCGUAAAACUCUGUUGUUAGGGAAGAACAAGUAUGAGAGUAACUGCUCGUACCUUGACGGUACCUAACCAGAAAGCCACGGCUAACUACGUGCCAGCAGCCGCGGUAAUACGUAGGUGGCAAGCGUUGUCCGGAAUUAUUGGGCGUAAAGCGCGCGCAGGCGGUUCCUUAAGUCUGAUGUGAAAGCCCACGGCUCAACCGUGGAGGGUCAUUGGAAACUGGAGAACUUGAGUGCAGAAGAGGAAAGCGGAAUUCCACGUGUAGCGGUGAAAUGCGUAGAGAUGUGGAGGAACACCAGUGGCGAAG
rnacentral:rRNA from 1 species